GUAGGUGGCAAGCGUUGUCCGGAAUUAUUGGGGCGUAAAGCGCGCGCAGGCGGUUCUUUAAGUCUGAUGUGAAAGCCCACGGGCUCAACCGUGGAGGGUCAUUGGAAACUGGAGAACUUGAGUACAGAAGAGGAAAGCGGAAUUCCACGUGUAGCGGUGAAAUGCGUAGAGAUGUGGAGGAACACCAGUGGCGAAGGCGGCUUUCUGGUCUGUAACUGACGCUGAGGCGCGAAAGCGUGGGGAGCAAACAGGAUUAGAUACCCUGGUAGUCCACGCCGUAAACGAUGAGUGCUAAGUGUUAGGGGGUUUCCGCCCCUUAGUGCUGCAGCUAACGCAUUAAGCACUCCGCCCGGGGAGUACGGCCGCAAAGGCUGA
rnacentral:rRNA from 1 species